CCUACGGGAGGCUGCAGUGGGGAAUAUUGGGCAAUGGGGGAAACCCUGACCCAGCGACGCCGCGUGAGGGAAGAAGGUUUUCGGAUUGUAAACCUCUGUUCUUGGUGAAGAGUGGAAGACGGUAACCAAGGAGGAAGCCCCGGCUAACUACGUGCCAGCAGCCGCGGUAAUACGUAGGGGGCGAGCGUUGUCCGGAAUGAUUGGGCGUAAAGGGCGCGUAGGCGGCUGUUUAAGUCUGGAGUGGAAGUCCUAUUUUUAAGGUAGGAAUUGCUUUGGAAACUGAGCAGCUUGAGUGCAGGAGAGGUCAUCGGAAUUCCCGGUGUAGCGGUGAAAUGCGUAGAGAUCGGGAGGAACACCAGUGGCGAAGGCGGGUGACUGGACUGCAACUGACGCUGAGGCGCGAAAGUGUGGGGAGCAAACAGGAUUAGAUACCCCGGUAGUC
rnacentral:rRNA from 1 species